rnacentral:lncRNA from 1 species
UUUGGGAUGAAAAUUUUGCAUUGGCUAAGAAAGGGCUAAUAAAAAAUGGUCUUGAUCAUAUGACACAUACAUACAAUUCAAUCAAUCAUAGAAACUUGGGCAAAAUCGUUCAUGCUUUCAAGUAGAUAGCAAGCAUAUCAACAAAACUAUGGAGCUCAAACCCUUACUCAUAGGAUCAACCAAUAUUCCAAAUGUCCCACAUAAACAUCCUGCUUAGCAUCAUAAUCACAAUCACAACAUCAUCAUGCAUCUGUUCACAUAGCUUGUGAACCACCACCCGUAUAUUAGUAUAUUGCGCAAUCUCAACAUCAUCAAUAACAAGCAUCAUUAAGAAACACCCAUCACUCACAAAUAUCAAUAUCAAACCACGACAUCAGAUAAAAUGUCAACCAAGUACAUCAUGCCCUAUACUACUAAACAAAAGCAAAUAAGUUCAAAGUACAAAACCAAAAAUAUAAGAAAAAGUCCUGUUCUAAUCACUAUAGCAUCCAUUAGUAGAUGCUAUAUCAACCCAUACUAUCAUCGGAGUCCUCAAAGUCAUCCUCCUCAUCAUCCUCGUCCAUGGUUGAAGCUUCAACUACUCCAGCUCCACUGCCCUAUGCCUACUCCUCUAGCCAUGCUUUGAUUAUCAAUUGUUGAUUUCUCAUAUGCGCUUAAAGCUUUUAUCGUUUAACUCAUUCGAUAACUGUUGUUUGUCUUUAUUGAUACGGGGACGUACGAUACUGUCAUGAACUGGUGAGAAUUUCCUUGAUUAAGCAAUACCACCUAGGGAUAAGGGUAGGACGAUCAAUUGUUUUUUGCUUCUGUUCUUAAUGCGUUAUUAAUUACUAGGGGAGGCUACGGAUAGCAAGCCAAUAAUUAGUAAUAGGCUCUUUUCGCCGAGGGAUCGGGUUAAGGGUAGGCCAAGAAAGUUUGCAUGACAAUUAGAUAACAAAGCAAAUUAAACAAGAGGAUUAGAUAAGAGAGAGCGGAUAAGAUGAAAUUGUCAACCCCCAACAACUUCAUUCAACCAUAGUCUUUUUCUCGUCAACUGAAGCAAUUGCAUUGCAUGUUUAUUUUGUGUUCUUGCAUUCCAACAAUUUAAAUUUUCUUUACAAGUCUUACGAUUUCAAUUCGCACGAAUGAUAAGGCCUUUCGAGUCUCUUGGGAAGAACGAUAUUGGGUUUUACCAAUUAUAUUACUUGAAACGAUCUGGUACACUUGCCAGAGAGUCAACAGUACAGUAAUGUCAUGGACUGGGGGGAAUUCCUUGAUUAUGCUAAUACCACCUAGAGAUAGGGGUAUGACGUUCAAUUGUAUUUUGCUUCCGUUUAUCAUGCAUUAUUAGUUACUAGGGGAGGCUAGAGAUAGCAAGCCAGUAAUUGGUAAUAGGCUUUUUUCGCCAAAAGAUUGGGUUUAGGGUAGACUAAGAAAGUUUGCAUGACAAUAUGAUAAAUAAGCAAAUUAGAUAAGAAGAGAAGAUAUGAGAGGGUGAAUAAGAUGAAAUUGUAAAUCCCAACAACUCCAUUCAUCCAUAGUCUUUUCUAGCCAAUUGAUUCACUGCAUUUUGCAUGUUUAUUUUCGUCUUGCAUACAAAACCUAAAUUUAAUUCUUUUCUUAAGUAUUAUGCAAUUGGUUUACAUGAAAGUUAAAGCCUAAGAGUCCUUUGGGAAACGAUACUCGGACUUACCCAUUUUAUAUUACUUGAUAACGAUAUGGUACACUUGCCAGGGAUUUAACAACUUUUUGGCGCCGUUGUCGGGGACUCGUGGUUUAAGUUAUCUAGUAGUCUAAAUUGAUUAAAUUUGACUUGAUUUUAUGUUUAUUUUUAUUUUUGUUCUAAUAAAUGUUUUCUAGGGUUUUGUGCCUAACGUUUGCAGGAUGCAGUAUACGGACAAGAAUUUGAUUAUAUGGGCACUCAAAUAUUCUACCAAAAUGAUUUCAACCACUGGUGGGGACCUCAUUCGUUCAUGGAUCAAAGCCAAUUUCGGCAAGUUGCCAAGCAACAUAUUACUCCACUCAAGGGGAACAUAAAUUCUGAUGACAAAUUUCUUCAGCGGAUCACGGGUAAGAAUAUGUCAUUCAUUAGAAGUAUUGAGGAGAUACGACAACGUGAGGAGUUACGAGAAUAUUAUAGACAACAAUAUCGUCCUUCACUUGGAGAAGUAGAAAGUCAAAGGCAGCAAUAUCUCCUACACUUGAAGAAAGAGAGAAGGAAGUUGAACAACGUCUUUGGCAAAAACAAUCCUCUUUGCCAAGAGAAACGUUGGGGGAAGCUGAACAACGUUUAUGGAAAGAACAACUCUAUGCCAAGAAAAACAUUGGGGGAAGAUGAACAACAUUGGCAGCAAUCAUCUCCAUCAGAAAGUCGUGAAGAGACAUUCCAACAAGUAAUGCAGAAUAUUAUUUCCUUUUCAAAAUGUGAUGAUGCAAGAUGUAAAAGGAAGCAUAUAGAAUUAGGUUGUAUGACUGCAUCUUUGAAUGAUUCUAGGGUUAGUACUGAAGUUAACCCUAGGGAGGAAUGCCAUGCCACUAUCUCUGAAAGUGAUAAGGUUGUUGAUGAGAAGAAACCAGAGAUAGAGAGAGAUGGAGAGGAAGAAGAAACAAAAAAGUUGAGUGAGGGGGAUAAGAAUGAUGAUAAGGAAAAAACAGUGGUUGAUGGAAAAGAAAAAAAGAGAAAAAUUUUGAAAAUAAAGAAUGAAAGAAAAUCGAAAUAGAGAAAGGUGAGGGAGGAGAAAAGUGAGAAAAAGAGAAAGAGAGGAAAGAAGAAAAUAUCAUUUGAAAAACCCCUUCCUCAUUCAAAAAAAUAUCAUAGGAAGGAAAAGAAAGUCAAUUGCUUUAUGGAUAUUUUUAAGAAGUUGGAGAUUAAAGUUCCUAUGAUUGAAACAUGGAAACAUAUGCUUGAUGUUCUCAAUUUUAUGAAGAAAUUCAGCAGGAAGAAGAAAAAGAAAAGAAUAUCAAGCAAGGGGAGUAUCAACACCUACUGAUGGGUAUUUGAACUCUACCGGGUCAAGCUAGUGACAUAAAAAGAGCGCUUAUUGGAAGGCACCCUAGUGAUCCAAGAACAAUAUUUUUGUACUUUAAAUUGUUAAAUCUUGGUGAUGUAAUAAUGAACAAUUUUUAAAUUUUUGUGUAUUGGGUAACAUCUACUCAGGGAUGCUAAUGAUUUAGGUACUUAUUGACAGGUACAGGAAGGUACACCUAUUAAUGGGUGUUGGUAAGGAGGCACUUACUAAUGAGUGCUAGACAAGUUUGGGUCAGGCUCGUGACGAUAAACAAGCGCUACCUAGGAGGCAACCCAGUUGAUUAUAUCUGUUUUUAACUCUGUGAUAAGUGCAUUACAUGUUUGAAUGUUGCAUUUGAGAAGGGAAAGGUAUGUGAUUGAAAACUUUAAGGUUGAAAUUAAGUGCUACAAGGUUAGAUUGCUUAAAAGCAAGCAAAGAAGAGAGAAAGAAAAUUUCCGCCAAACCGUUGAGCGGUCCAUUUGACCGCUGAGCGGUUGCGGCGUAAACUGGUCUCGGGUUUUCUUAAAAGUUGAGCGGUUUUUAGGUUUUGCACUUUGAAACCUCUUCUUUGUUGUUCGCCCAAGCGGUCUCCUUAAGCUCUGACACUUCUCUUUCAAUUUUAAGAGCUUUUUGAAGAGAUUUCCCAAAUUUCUCAUCACCUACUCACAAAAAUCUCAAUUUUCUACCACUAUUUUGUCAAAGUUUGGGGUUUUUGGUCGAGGGUUGUGCAUCGGAGAGGGCAUUCAUCAUCAAUUAGGAGCAAGUUUAGCAAGCAUCGAAGAUCUCCACUCAAGUAUGUUGUGCAAUUGCAUUCUUAGGGUUUAUAAUUGGAAUUUGUUGAAGAACAUGCUUAGGAUCAUGAUAAAUUAGGGCUUUUGAUUUCUAUGCAUGAUUUGAUGAAAUAGAAACUGUUUGAACCGAUAGAAUUGCAUGAUAUUGGUCUAGAAUUAUGGAUUUGGUGUUAGAGUGGACAUUAGGACUUUUGAAAAAGAGUUUUUGAAAAACCUUGUUGAAAACCGCUGAGCGGUCUCCCUGAACCGUUGAGCGGAAUUCAUCAGAUUGGGGGAUUUUGAUUUGUUUGAUGCUUGGACACUGAAGGGCCCUAUUUUUUCCUUAGUACUGGAUUGUGUGUUCUGGAAAUGUAAUUGAUUAUUUACUAACCUCUAAUGAUAAAUUUCAGUGAUGUUAUUGAAUUUAUUUGAUACGGGAAUGUCAUCCUCAAGAAGAGUGAAGACCACGGGCAACAAGAGGAAGGAACCAGAAAGGACCAAUAAGAUUCUAUUCUUCUAGGUUCCUUUCCAAGAAGCAUGAGGAGCAUUACGUGACUGUACAGGAGAGGCAUUUAUUGAUGGAGAGGAAGGCCAUGUACAUUCCAGAUUUAGCUCCAGAGUUUGGAUUGGAGAUUGAGAGGCGAGGUUGGGAGAGAUUGACUACCUAUCCUGCACCAGCUAGCAUUGAGCUGGUGAAGGAAUUUUUUGCCAAUGCCUUGCCUAGAGGAGGAGUAUCAACGGGGAGGUACAUGAGCUAUGUGAGGGGACAGAUCAUCAGAUACGACCCUGACACCAUCAACAACUUUUUGGGUACUGAGUGGCCAGGAGAGCAGUGUAGGUAUGCUGCUCUUACAGGGGAGUACAACGAUUAUGAGGACAUCGAGAGGGUGAUGUGCAUCCCUGGGAGACACUUUCAGAGGAACCCUAAUGGAGCGCCAGUCAACUUCAUUAGGGCGGAUUUGACUCCCCUAGCGAAGUACUGGAUGGCAUUCACUCAUGCCAACAUACAGCCAUGCUCCCAUGUCUCCGACAUUACCAUGCAUCAGAUUCUCUUCAUCUACUACAUGCUGAGGUAGAUGGAUGUUAACGUUGGUGAGAUCAUCACCAACGAAAUUCAGGGUUGCGCUACUAUUGUUAGUAGCAGGACAUCGCUGGGACAUCCGGCCAUGAUUACAUACCUGUGCCAGCAGGCUGGGGUGGACACUGCAGUUCCACCUUAUGAGAGGCCGGGGAGGGCUAUUGAUGCCUCCUAUUAUCGUCAGUUUUGUGGAGGUGACGAGCCAGCCAUAGCAGUUCCUAGGAGACAUCCUAGGAGAGCAGCAACCCAGCAAGAGGAUGCACCUGCAAAUGCACCGGCACAACACGCUAAGCCUUUCUAGAUGAGGGACAUGUACAUGAUGGAGUCUCUCCGUAGAGGGCAGGUAGCUACUGCUAAGAUGAUUAUAGGAUUGUAUGACACACCACCAAUGCACAGGUGGACUAUGGACGAGUUCCAUAGUAUGAUAGCUUGGCCUCAGGAGCAGGCACAGGGUAGCGGGUCUAGAGUAGUUGGAGCACCAGGCAGAGAUGAAGAUGACCAGGAGGAUGAUGAUUUUGAGGAUGCAUAGGAGGGUGGUAAGUAUGACUCAGAUGAGGACAUAGACUGAUAAGGCAUUUACUGACGGAUGCGAGCACUAAGACAGGGAUUUUUCUUUUUCUUUUGUACUUUGGAUUUGUAGAAUAGGUUGAACUUUAUUUUCGUGUCUAUGCUUGGCUUGUACACUGAUUUUGAUGAUUGUUUAAUGAUAUUGCAUGAUGAGUUAUUUGAUGAUGAUUGAAUGUGGCUAAUGAUUGAGACCGUGUGCAUGUUGAUAUCCAGGUGAAUGGUUCACUAACUAUGUGAACAGAUGUGUUGUGAUUUAUGAUUGUGAUUAUGAUACUAAGCAAAGUGUAUGAAUGAUGUGUGAGAAAGCAUGUUGUGUGAGGUAUUGAGUUCUAGAGUUUUCAUGGAUAUAUGUACUGUUCACAGGGAAGCAAUAAUGAUAUUGCCUGAGUCUUGAUAGUUGAUUGAAUUGCAUGUUUAUGUUAUAUGAUCAAGGCCAUGAUUGGAAGCCCUUACUUAGCCAAAUUUUUGCCCAAAGUGGUUAAAUGUUAUACCCUUUUUGAACCUUAGCCUUAAAAAGGAUGAAAACCCUUGUUUUGAAUUAAUUACCUUGAGUUGGGUUGAGAAUAAUUGUAUGUAUUGAAAAGGUUAAGUUUUGGGUUGUUUGGGGAAAGUUAAAAGGCAAAAGAAAAGCAUUGAGCUCAAGUGUUAAAAAAUAAAAAUGCAUGAAAAAAGAAAAAGAUGAAAAGAAAAAGCAUGAAAGAUGAGCUCAAUAAAAAGAAAAGGGAAGAAGUUGGGAAUGAGUGAGAUUGGUGAAAAGGAGAGUUUGUAGUUGAACUUUGAAUGUUAAAAUAGCUCUCUUGACUCAAGGAUUUUGUGAUCUAGAAAAACCAAUUUUUCUUGUUAGCCCAACCUCAUUACAAGCUUUGGAAAAGUCCUUGUGAUGUCAUUUGCAUGUGAGAAUGUUGAUUGUUUUAGAUGAAGUGUGACAUGUGAGUUGUUGAGAGUGGAGUGUCCUCCUAAACACUUCAGUGAUUGAGUGAAACACUUGCUUGUUGAAACACUUAGCGGCUAGAGGGAAAUCGCUAAGCGGUUUAAUUAGACACUGAGCGAUUAUCUGUUUUUAUUGCGCUUAGAUUCUGUUAUCUUUUUUGGUCUAUAAAUAGACCCAGUGUGAUUCAAAUUGUAAUCUUUUGGCCAGCAGAGACGCCCAGAGCUGCUCUACACACCUUGGAGGAGGUUCCUUGGAUGCUUAGGCUCCAAUCUACUAAAUUUAGGGUUUAUUCUUCCAUUCUCUCAUUAUUUUUCAUCUAGAUUCACCAUGUCCAUGGUGAACUAAACACUAGGUUGUUGGGGAACAAUGUAAUCUUUUGAAACUCUCUUAUAUCAAAAUUCUUAUCUUCUUUAUAUGCUUGCAUAUGCCUACUAUAUCAAUUGUUGGGUUCCUUACCUUUGAUUAAUCCUUUUAUCGUUUAACUCGUUCGGUAAAUGUUGUUUGUCUUUAUUGAUACGGAGAUGUACAGUAAUGUCAUGAACUGGGGGAAUUCCUUGAUUAUGCUAAUACACCCUAGAGAUAGGGGUAGGACGAUCAAUUGUAUUUUGCUUCUGUUUAUCAUGCAUUAUUAGUUACUAGAGGAGGCUAGAGAUAGCAAGCAGUAAUUGGUAAUAGGCUCUUUUCGCCAAGAGAUUGGGUUUAAGGUAGACUAAGAAAGUUUGCAUGACAAUAUUAUAAAUAAGAAAAUUAGAUAAGAAGAGUAGAUAUGAGAGGGUGAAUAAGAUGAAAUUGUAAACCCUAACAACUCCAUUCAUCCAUAGUCUUUUUUAGCCAAUUGAUUCACUGCAUUUUGCAUGUUUAUUUUCGUCUUGCAUACAAAACCUAAAUUUAAUUCUUUUCUCAAGUCUUAUGCGAUUGGUUUACAUGAAAGUUAAGGCUUAAGAGUCCUUUGGGAAACGAUACUCGGACUUACCCAUUUUAUAUUACUUGAUAACGAUCUGGUACACUUGCUAGGGAUUUAACAGUGCGCAGUCAGUCUCCCUUUGAAUCUCUUUUAAGAAAGAUAACCACUGUCUUCUUGGAGAAUUUUUGGAUCUAAAAACAAAUAUAUCAAUCUGAAACAGAAAUGAAAAUGUUAGAUCAUCAAAAGUCUCUGAACAACUUUGUGUUCGUCCAAUUUAUAGAUUUCUGUUUAACAGACAUUCUCUAAGUCGAAUAAGCUACUAAUUCAGUCGACUGAGUUAUGACUGUUAUAAUAGUUCAAUCAAAUUGGUAGCAUUCAGUCAACCAAAAUAAAAACUCAUUUAAUAUAGUUGACCUACUAUUCAAUGCUUAACUAACUUUUAAAAAUAUAGUCGUUAGAGUACAAGAGCAUAACAAAAUUUCAAAUCAAACAACUAAUGUAGUCGAAUAUGUAGCGCACAUAGUCGACUUUGAUCCUGAUGAUCCUGAUGAUUAUGGUGCAUAUUAGAUAUUUAGGAACUUUUGAAAACAUUUGAAGUUAGGUUUUCCUUUUUACAAACUUUGUUUUGACAUUAGAAACUUUUCAAACUUUGAAUUUAGUUUUUUAUUAUCAAACUUUGUUUUGCAUUUAGGAACUUUUGAAACUUAGAAUGAUUGAAGUUUCCUUGAUGAAUGUUGAAUGAUUGCAUUUGAAUUGCCUGGAUGAAUUGGUUGGCUAAAUUGGUGUUUGGGAUUAUUGAUUGUUUAUUUGCAAGUUUUGGGUAUAAUGCAGAAGCAAAUUGUAUUGAAAAAAAAAACAGUGCACGUUACCGACGGACAAAAACCGUCGGUAAAUCCUACCCACAUUCAUCGUGCAUUACCAAUGACUUUUAGGCCAUCGGUAAUACCAAAGGCCAAAAGGUCGUCGGUAAUGUUUCUGACACGCAUAUUAUUGACGGUUUUUGGGCUGUCGGAAGGGAUUUUGGCCGUGGAUAAAUCCCUUCUUUUUUGUAGUAUCGGUUGUUCAUAUAACCGAGGUCAUAUGUCCUUCUUAACUAAAAUCAAACAAGUGCCAAUUUUGAAAUUUUUUUUUAUAACGGUUGUUCAAAUAGUUUAGAAAAAAAAUAGCAAGAAUUUUGAAAAAUUUUCAAAAUUUUGGUGCACCUUUUGGCUUCAAUUAAUUACCAAUCGAUGCCAAAAGGUAAUCGAUGCCAAAAGGUAUCUACGACUUCGGUUCUUUUGCAACCAAGACCUAUAAGUUCACAAAAUUUUCAAAAAUAUCACCAUGACAUUAUGCUUCAAUUUCUUCAAAACCGAAACAUAUUAUGUCAAAUCUACAUCACUGAUAUCAUUAGACUUGUGUUGAAUAAAAAUCAUGUCAGAAAUUAUUGAUUUUCUCUUAUGGAUUGUAUCAUACAUAUAUAUUAGUACAAUUGAAAUGUAUGUUAGUGUAAACUAGAAAUUUACGAAUUAAGAUCUUUCCAAAUUAUCCAAUAAAAAAUAUUUGUCUUAUAAUACUAGUGAAUUUAAUUUUUAUGCUUUUAAUAAGUAUGUAUGUCAAUUAGAAUUGAAGUUAAACAUCUAAUAACACAUUUUCAUACUUAAAAUAGAUUUGCAAAAUAAUUAUAAAACAUCUAAAUUUGAUCGCAAGAUUAUGAGGUAAUCUUCCAAUAGCUACUUGGAUAUAUGCAAUUUUGCAUGUUAGAGUAUUGAUUCACAUCAGGUCAAGAAUAAUUAUAUUUGAAAUUCAGAUUGACGUUUUAUUGACCCCACUUUCCUGGUUCAGCUGUGUACUGGUCGUAUGGUCUAAUCCAACCCACCAAGCUUCCUUUUCUUCUUUGACUUUUAUUUCGACUUUUUAUUUAUUAUUUCAAAUUUAUCUAUUUAUUUAAAGGUCAUUGGAUGUUAUUGAAUGUGCCAAAUAAUUUCUUUACAUGUAUAUCAUAAAGUCUUACCUUUACUCAUUUUUAGUUUCUAGAAUUUAGGAUAAAUUUAAUUUUAAUAUUUAAAUUUAUGUCUUUGAUAUUUGAAAAAAUAUAUUUAGUUCUUGGGUAUUAAAUUUGAGAGGCUCAAAUAUUUUUUAAAACCAUAAAUUUGAAAAGAAAUUCUAAAUUUUAAACACCAAAGUAUUUUUAAAUGUUUUCUGUUUUAUCGUUUUGAGGUGUGUGUAUAUAAUAUAUAUAUAUAUAUAUAUAUAUAUAGUAAGUUGUUACAUAUUUAAAAUGUCCAUUGUGAAACUUAGAUUGGAGUCAUUUUGAUUAGUAAUUGAGUAAAAAUAAAAUAGUGAUUUAACCAAAAGGUUAAGAAAAACAACAUUAUCAUAAACUAUUUUUAGUCUUAAUUUUUAAGAGAUCUUGGACUUUCCGACAUGUUAAAGUAAACUUUUUAGUUAAGAGUUAAACACUUGAACUAAUGUAGAUUUUUUUUUUCUUAUGUCCUAUUUUUUCUCACAAACAUUGUUGAUUAAUAUUCUUAUCUCCAGUUCUCUAAAAGGAUAGGAAAUAUUGAUUAGUGUUUCAAAGGAAGUUUGUAUGUUUCAAGUAAUUAAAUAAGUUGACCUACCACACCCAUAAAAGUCAUAACAUUGAUUACUCUAUUACAAAAUUCUUAAUUUCUUAUCUGAUGAAAUAGAACUCGUACAACAUUCAUUGGUGAAUCGAAGAAUUGUACUUAACAUUACUCAUCGCCAGCAUGCAACAAGUCCUUGUUGUGUUGCAUGAGUAGAGCCCUAAUUGUCCAUGUGCAUGGUAUUUGAAAAGCUGACAGAUGAAUCUAAGGUCUCAUAGAAACAAAAUUAAGACUGAAAAGCAUUGCAUGUGAGUGCAUGAUAGUUUGAUACAAAAAUGUGACUCAGUUGUUCAGGAGUUGCAGCUAGUAGGUGAAACGUACAAAACAGGAUCACAUGAUUUGGUGUGAGAUAAGCUAUGCUUAUUUGUAUUCUGCAAUGGAAUUCAGCAAUAAUUAGAGGCAUUAUUAGUUGUUACUGAAAUUGAAAGACCAACCAUGGCCUCUUUCGUUCAUCAUCGUGGGGGUUGUAGGGCUGCUCUGAAUGACCCUCUUGUGGGGGAAAAACUAAAUCAGGAAUCAAAUCCAGAAUGAAAGAAGUUAGGAUGCCUUGUCAACUAUUCCAAGAUUUGUUUAAUGCAUAUUAUGAUAAUAUAAAUACACCUAACCCUUUGUUGAUAGGAGUAGAAAAAGAGAGAGAGAGAGAGAGAGAGAGUAAUUAGAUAAAAAAGAAAAAAAAUACAUUUGUAAAAUUGUUUGAUUUGUUUAAGAAAAAUGAAGGAAAAGAAGUCAACAUAGAAGAAGGAACAUAUCAUGCAAGAAAAUAAAAUAUUUGUUUGUCAUUGAUCAUGUACUUCUCAAUAUAAUUAAUAUAAUAAUCAUUAUUUUUGCAUGUAAAACGUACCAUGAUUAAUUAUGUUACAAUAUAUAAAUGCAUUUUACUAUAUAAGUGUAUUCGAGAAGAGAGAAAAUGAAAAAUCCAGAGAAAAAGAACAGAAACUGUGAAUGAAUAUUACUAAUUGAAAUGUAAUGAGUACGGCGGAAGCUUUAUACAAAAAGGGAAAAAUAGAAAAAUGAAAAUGAAAUAGUAAAGAAAACUAUAUAUAUCACAGAGACUGAACGGUUUAUGAGAAUCCAUCGUUCGGUAGGAUGAAGACAUAUGGUAGCUAUACCUAUAGCAGCUAUCCAAUAUGCAUAAGCUUUCUGCAACUAUUCGGUAGGAAAGUGUAGAACACCGUUCGACAACAACAGAGAAACCGUUCGGUUAACAACAGAAGAAGAUCUCUGUGACCCUCCCUCAAGCUGAACAUGGAUAUUAUGCAGGUUUAGCUUGGAAGUAACAGAAUUAAAGGUAGAAGAGUAAAGAGACUUGGUGAAAAUAUCUGCAAGUUGAUUGAUAUAUGGAACUUGAAUAAAUAAAUAAACCUUUGAUGAAUGAUAUAUGGAACUUGAAUCUUCAAGAAGUAUAGGUCACUCAUUUUCGGAUUGACUUUAACUAUGAUUCUUUUUUGGAUUCAUUCAAUGAAAAUAUGACGAGACAAGUUGUAUUUCUCCUUUUUUACAUUUAUUCAUAUAUUUAUCUUCAUUUUUCAUGUGAAUUUAGGAUCUAAUUCUCUAGUUCAACAAAGAGGUUAACUCUCAUACCAAAUUGAAAUAAUAGGCAACUUCUAGAAAGGAAGAGAAAUUGGAAUAAUAGACUACAAAGAGUAGUCUCUCUAGACAUCACAAUAGUAUCAACCUCUCUAGGUUAUAUGUAUAGUCCUCCAAAAACAAGUUUAUUCUCUCUAGGUAUCCUUCUUAACUUAUUCAUGAGAUUAAAAAUUCUCAGACAAGACGAGAAAAACACUCUCAAAGAAAGAGAGAAUAAUUACACCAUUUAUAUUUUUCCUAGGACUUUUUCUCUAAAUUUGGUUCUAUAAAACUUAUUAUUUCCAAUUCUAAUAUUCUUUCGAUGAUUAUUUUUUCUUGAAUGUAUAUUGGUGUUUCUUGUGCUUUUCAUAAUCAUAUUGACAUCCUUUUCAUAAUUCUUUUGAAAGAAUAAGUGUUGAGGAACUUGGAAUUUAUUUGAUUCGAUCAACAUCUUGUGAUUGAUCUUUAUACAGAGUGAUUUGAUAAUAUCUUCAAUUUAAUCUUCAAGUCUUCGAGGUAUUAUUCUUAGGCUUUUAAUCUUUUUAUUUCCUUUCUUGAAUUAAAAAAAAAUAAAUAAAUAAAUAAAUAAAAAAAUAAACUUGAUUUGGAAUCCUUUAAUUUUUUAUCUUCGUUCAUAAUGUUAAUAUAAAAGGAAAACUAUAUAGCAUAUUAUGAAAUAUAUAGUUAGUAUUGUAGUUAUUACUAAUAUCAAUCAAGAUCAAAUUCAUUGUCAGUCACAUAAAAUGUUUUCAUAUAUUCAUAUAAAAUGACCGUUUGAUUUAAAAACAUUUUUACUUUAAAAUGUAAUUUCUUUAUAAAAUUUUAAUGUUUAAUUAUCUAAAGAUAAUUUUAACGAUUUAGCUUGAUAUUUAACAUGAUAAAUGAAUGACCAAGGUAAGAGAAACCAAAAAGGUUGACUAGGAAGACUUACGUCAACUCUGUCUGAGAUUGUAUCAUAUGGUAAGAUAUUCUCAAGUUAUUGUCCAACCAGUGUAAAUAUGGUUCAUAACAUUAUAUUGUUUGAUUAAUUUCAAGAUAACACUCAUGUUGCACAAACAUACAUCAGACUAAACACAAUAUAGAACAAAUUUUUAUACCAUAUAAUAUGUUAUUUCAUUUAUAAAAACAAUGUUAAAGGACUUUAUGAUAACCAUCGAUUGUAAUACUUUCUUGUAUCAUCUUAACAUUGUAUCACAUAUCAUCUAAUGAUAUUUUACUACGUCUAUACUAUAUCAUUUGAUUAUAUGUUUUGUUGUGAUCCAAACACUCUCAUCUAAUGGAAAAAAAAAUUAGAAUGUAAUAUAGUGAAUAAUUAGAUAAAAUUAUAUUAUGCAAUCAGACGAUUUAAAUAUCAGAGUAAGUAAGCACAUAAUAUAUAACGAAGUGAGUAAGGAAAUAAAUAAGAUGUUUAUAAAAUUAAUAUCACAACGAAAUAUGUAAGAAUAUUGAAAAGCCAAUACUUAAAAACCAUAAACAAAAAAACCAAAACCAAAAAUAGUAAACAUUGUUCAUAAAAGAAUAUAACAAAAAAAAGAGACAUAAGGUUGAGAAUGAGAAAAGACAUUUUUUUUUCUACAGUUAGAUGAAUGUGUUUGCAUUGCCUCUUUAAGAGUGGUAUUGACUAUACCUUCCAUUUUAUUUUGAUGGAAGAUUAUCUAGAGUUCAUAUAAAACCUUUAAUUAGAGCUAUGACAAGGAGCAUUCAUGAAGAAAUUGAAAAGAACAUUUCUUCUAUGGAAGAUUAAUUAUUAAUCCAUCUUUCUUUUAAACAUUGUAUGUCUUGUUUUGUAGGUUUCGAUAAACUAGGACACAUCCCUAGACCAUGGAUCGUCCAACCAAGAUCUUUGGACAAAGAAUUAAGCUAGCAUAGCUUGGAGAAGCUUUUGGAUUCAUCAUUCAAAAGAAAAGAGCAUGUGCAUUGACAGAUGAUCAGCACAAUACCCUAGGCGCCCAACAGUGAUGAGUGUGUUCAUGUGGAGUCCAUGUGUUUAGUGUGAUUCAGCAUGAGUUUCAUGUCAUUCUAGUUCGCCUUUCUAGUUGGCAUGUGGACCAAAAUUUAGGCUCUCCUUCACCUAUAAAUAGGUGAGCCUAUUUUUUGGAAAAUAUCACUUUUGAGCUUAGUAAAUUGUUGUUGAAAUGAACCCAACCUUCCUUUUCUCUUUGCUCACUUUGAAUUUUUAAUUCUCUACCUCUCCUCUAGCUUCCCUUCUUAGUGGGAAGUCCUUCUGAGCUUUGAGGCUUCUGCACAUCACUACACCUUCACCAAAACCACACCAAACAUCUUCAAACAAUGCAUUUCUGCUACAUUUCCAAUUCGUCCACCGCACCUCUAUUUUUAAGCUUCAAGACUUGAAGAUUCUUGUUGAAGUAGCUUCCAUCAAGUGGGAGUCAGAGCAAGGUCACUCCAUGCUACAAGAGAUAAGUCAUUUCCUUUCGUGUUGUCCAAGUGGUUUCCAUCAUGUCCUGUUAUGUCUUCACUAUUACAUUGAGUUGUUUCUGUUUUAGCUAAUUAUGUACAUUGAAUUUCAUUAUUUUCGUGUUUUUGGGGUGCAUUCAUGUUUGUUUAUCAUUUUAAUCGGUGAAUUAAAUUUGUUUGAGAUAUUUCCAGCCUAAGAAUUCAAUUUUAGUUUGUUUAAGUCAUGUACUCAAAAUUCUGAUGCAACUUUCUUGAAUUUGUCUUAAAUCUAGUUUUUUUGUUUUGAUUUUCUAUUAAAUUAGUUCAUAAGUAUGUAUGUGUGCCAUAUACAAACCAAUUAAGGAAAUGAGAUGUUAAACUAACAUUGGUGAUAUGAGGAAAGACAUUAAAUUCUUAUUCAAGUUUUCAAAUAUGUUCAAAUUUCUAUUUCUGGUAUAAAUCAUUUUUAUUCUAUUCAAGUCAGUUUUAAGACUGUUUGGUAUUGAGAUUGUUGACAACACAAACUCUAUAUCAAUCUGGUUUUUGAUGAUGACAACACAAUGCUUAAUAACAGUACAAAUGUUGUUGUUUUACAUGUUCUUGUUCUGAACUUGUUGUUAUAUCCAUUGAACAUGUUUUGAUGUACUGUGUUGUAUGUUCCUAUGUUAAUUGGGUGAUAUAUCUCUGGAACAUGCUUGUAUGACAAUGUGUAACAAAAUGUCUUUGAUAACAGUACAUUCUGGAAGUGAAAAAUCACAAGCACCUUUAUGAACUUAUAAUUAUGUGCCAAAGUUCUAGUACAGUCGAAUACAACUGUAAUGGAUUCGACUAUUCUAAAACCUUUGUACAAAUUUUGAACAUUAGUGCUUUGUGACGUUUUGGAUUGAAAAGAAUUUCAAAGUGUUUUUUCAUGUGUCAGUCAACUUUGUUAUGAGUACAUUCGACUGUAUCUUUGAUCUAUUUUGGAAUUCUGGUAUGCUUCGCGCUCCAACGGCUAUAUUUUUAAAAGUUAGUUAAGCAUUGAUGACUUGGUCAACUGUAAUAAAUGUGUGUGUUUUUUUGUUGACUGAGAGCCUAUGUGUUGACUGUCUGUUAUAACUAUUUUAAUACAUUCGACUAGAUUAGUAGGCUAUUCGACUGAGAAACAAUCUAACUGACAGAAAACUAUAAAUAGACUGAACGCGAUUUGCUCAGACACUUUUGAGGCACUGACAUUUGUUACCAAUGAGGAGCAUUGGUAAAUAUUGAAGAAAUUAGUUUUCAUGAUGCUACAAGGAUUUUUACCUGAAGAAAGUAUUAGAAAUGUUUAAAAGCACUUUGUAGAAUAUAAGUGUAAUAGGAAAGUCUUCAAAUCUUGUAAAAAUUGUAUUUUGUACUAAAAUAAUCGAUUAUCAAGAAUCUUUCAGGAGUAAUUGAUUAUCACCUCACAUAAUCGAUUAUCAUAUUUUUGAAAAACCUGUAACAGACUUGAAUAAUCGAUUAUCACUUACAAUAAUCGAUUAUUAGUGGCAGUUGGGACCUGACCUUUGAUAUUCAGAGUAUCUGGCUAUAUAUUGGACUUUGGAAAUUUCAGAAGCAACACUGUUGAACAGAAGCUUUGCAGAAUACUGUUUGUCAGAGGAAGUUCUCAAAAGCUAUAGUUCAAGUUACCUUUCUUGGUCUCGUGAAUAGGAGAAGCUCGCGUAUCGUGUGUCGAUAGUCAGAGCGGUUCUCUUCGAGUUAGGAAGGUGCUCUGCCUGGUCUCGUGAAUAGGAGAAGCUCACGUAUCGUGUGUCGAUAGCUGGAGCGGUUCUCUUCGAGUUGGCAGAGUGGUCAUCUUCCAGUUCGUUCGUCGAAGGAAGGUUCAUUUAUCAUAUUUUAUUCACUAUUUUUGGAAUCUGUGAAACUCAAAUUUUAGUGGAACUGUUAAUCACUCUUUAUAGUGAUUAACGACUGGACGUAGAUUCUUCUGAAUCGAACUAGUAUAAAAAUUACUCACGUGAUUUUUCUACUCCCUGCACUCGUUAUUUUCAUUUGAACAUCAACUGUUCGAUAAAUUGUCCAUUUUAAUACAAAAGUGACCAAACACGCUUUCCGUUAACUUAAGUUUUUAUUCCAUUACGUUACACUAUGUCUGGUACCAACCAACAACAUUUUCAUUUCUUGUUUCAGAUUGAAUUCUCUGUGUUAACAGCUCCAAGAAUUCUCCAAGAAGACGGUGGUGAUAUAUCUUGAGAGAGAUUCAAAGGGAGAAGACGGUGGUUAACAGCUGCAAGUCUGGUUUUGUUGUGCAACUAUAUUUUGGUUUGGGUUAGAGAGGAGAUUUAUAUUUUUGCGUGAGGCUUCUAUAAAUUCCUUGUUGUAAAAACUGCAACCAUUAUAGUGCAUUUGCUUCCUGGGUUGGAAGGACACUAGAUGUAGGCAUUGUUGGCCAAAUUAGUAUAAAACCAGUGUUUGAUUUUCUCUAUCCUUGCACUCUUUAAAUUCAGUCGAUUAUAUUUGUUUAGUAGUCAACUGUGUUUUUCCGCUGCAUUGAAAUUUUCAUUACUUGCAUUUCAAGAAAAGAUCAAAAAGCUUUAUACUUUUGUUUCAAGAUUGCGAAAAGAUUUUGUUUUUGAAACAACACCAAUUCACCCCCCCCCCCUCUUGGUGUAAAGAAGCCUACUUGUUUUCCUAACAUUUGGUUCAUUUCCAUCACUAUUUUGGUAUUGUCCAAUGUUGUAAAAGGUUUGGUAAACCAUGGGAUUAAUGAAGAUGAUUUGGUAUUUUGGUAUUAUUUUGGAUGAUAAUAUUUGGACCGUCGUGGCUCAACUUCAACUUGUUGAAGAUGCGGUGAUGUUGACCCACGGGUUAGAAGGCUUCAACAAGAUCUUGGCCUUCCAUUCAUUCCUGAAGAUCCCUUAAGUCCAUAUGAAUAAGAAGAAGUUAUUGGUGGAAGGCCUUAAGAUUAAUGAAAGGCUUAUCCACUACUUGAUUGGAGAUUGACAGCUGGCUUAGCGCAUACCCUAGGCACCCAACACUAACGAGUGUGUUGAUUAGGAGUCCAUGCUUUUAGUGUGAUAUAAACCUUUACAUAGUUUCUUGAAUCGCAAGGAAUAAGAAGUUUAAGUGUCACGGAAAUAUAAAGUUGAUUGUGUAAAUUGUAAAGUUGACUUAAAGUAAAAGUGUAGGGAAAGAGAAAGCAAACACAGAGUUUUUAUACUGGUUCGGCCUCAAUGCCUACAUCUAGUGUCCUUCCACAACUAGGAAGCCAAUGCACUAUAUUAGUCAAAGUUUUUACAGCAAGAUUUCUAUAGAGACCUCCACGUCAAAAGUAUAGACAAUCUCUUUAACCCUCUAACUAAAAGUAUAGGCAGUCAAAACAAAGAUAUCCAGCAAGAUAUCUCCUCUUCUGUAAUCUUUAACCCACUUCGAACAAUCCUCAAAGUGUCUAGAACUCCACGAGUGCACCUCCUGUAAUCCCAACAGGACAACAACAAUCUUUUCAAAGAUUGAUAGAAAACUUGACCAAUAUGAUGAACACCAAUUUGUGCAGAUAUUGAUCAAAUAGUACACGCAAUUCACUUCCUCCUUAAGAAACUCUUCCAAGAAAGAUCUCCUUCAUCUUCUUGAUGAGUUCUUGGAGCCUUUAAACAGAGAUCACAAUCUGAAAUAUCAAAUGAAAGUGUUAGAAUAUCCAAAGUCGUAUGUGAUCAAUAAAAUCAGGUCUAUUUAUAGUUUUCUAUAAACCAAAUGCUCAUGUAGUCGACUUUGCUACUAAUGUAGAUGACUGUCAUCAAACAGUUAUAACAGUUAAGUCAAUUAGUAGCAGUCAUAAAAACUAAAUUGAUUUCACAUUUAAUUCAGUUGACUUGCAUUUAAUGCUUUAGCAUAGAGUUGAAAUAUAGUCGUUACAGCACAAAAGCAUUAACAGAAUUUCGAAACAAAUAACUAACUAAGUCGAAUUCACUACGUGUGCAGUCGAAUUAGACACUUCAAAUCAGUUUCAAAUACUUUUCAAUGCCAAAUCACUCACAACACUAUUUUUGAAAAUCUGUGCAAAGUCACGAGUUUUAAUCGACAUACUUCAUAAUGAAGUCGACUUAAAACUUGCAGUUUUGCCACACAAUAUAAGUUCAACAAAGUGCAUGUAGUUUUCUUUUCUUAAAAUAUAUGUAAUGCAAUCAUAAAAUAUGUAUCCAGUAUAAAAUCAGUGAAUAUACAUACAUAUAUAGAAUCAACACAAACAUGUUCAUUAAGAUAUCAUUCACAAUAAAGAAUUGAACAUGUAACACAUAACAAUACAUGUGUUAUUAAUAAUGUGUUGUCAUCAUAAAAAACCAUAGCACUUUGAGAUUAAGGUUUAGCUAAACCAGUGCUUCCCGUAUCAACAAUCUCAACAUUAUCCUUCACCUAUAAAUAGGUGAGCCUAUUCUUUGGAAAAUAUCACUUUUGAGCUUAGUAAAUUGUUGUUGAAAUGAACCCAGCCUUCCUUUGCUCUUUGGUCACUUUGAAUUUUUAAUUCUCUACCUCUCCUCUAGCUUCCUUUCUUAGUAGGAAGUCCUUCUGGACUUUGAGGCUUCAUGCACAUCACUACACCUUCACCAAAACCACACCAAACAUCUUCAAACAAUGCAUUUCUGCUGCACUUCCAAUUCCUCCAUGCACCUUUAUUUGUAACCUUCAAGACUUGAAGACUCUUGUCUAAGCAGCUUCCACCAAGUGGUAGUCAGAGCAAGGUCACUCCACACUACACGAGAUAAGUCAUUUCCUUCCAAUUAUGUGUUGUCCAAGUGCUUUCCAUCAUGUUUUGUUAUGUUUUCACUAUUACAUUGAGUUAUUUCUUUUUUAGAAAAUUAUGUCCAUUUAAUUUCAUUAUUUAUGUGUCUUUGUGGUGCGCUCAUGUUUGUUUAUCAUUUUAAGCGGUGAAUUACACUUGUCUGAGUCAUUUUCAGCCUUAGAAUUCAAUUUCAGUUUGUUAAAGUCAUGUACUCAAAAUAUUGAUGCAGUUUUAUUGAAUUUGUCUUAAAUCUAGUUUUUUUCUUUGAUUUUGUAUUAAAUGAGUUCAUAAGUAUGUGUGUGUGCCAUAUAUUAACCAAUUAAGGAAAUAAGAUGUCAAUCUAACCUUGGUGAUAUAAGCAAAGACACUAAAUUCUUAUUCAAGUUUCAAAUAUGUUCAAAUUUUUUAUUUCUGGUUUAAAUCAUUUUGAUUUUGUUCAAGUCAGUUUUAAUUUUGUUUGGUGCAUUUCCAUCACUAUUUUGGUAUUGUCCAAUGUUGCAAAAGGUUUGGUAAAACAAUAGGAGUAAUGAAAUGCAAGUUACAUAGCUCAGUUACCUCAAAACUAGAAGCACUUUAUUGAAUAUUUUUGUCCAAAUAUAGCUUUUCACCAUGCUACAUAUACUUGUAUGGUUCAGUUUGAGUUUAUAUCCUCCUAGAUGUUGUUUUCCAAUUUUCUCUUGUUAGCAUUAGGCUGAAGAGAAGAAUUUUUUAUGAUGUCUCAAAGUCAAGCCUCAAGUGUUCUUAUUGCUAGAAGAUCCUCAUAAAGACUUAUUUUUAUAUUUAAACAUUUGUAAUUUAGUAGAUUGAUGUAUAGGAUGUGGUUUAUAUUUGAUUCUUCGUAUUGAUUGUCUUAGGUAGUGUUUCAAUGUGUUUUGAAUCAGAAAACCUCAUUUUAUACUCAAGAUAAUCAAUUACCACUUGUGAUAAUUGAUUAUGACUUGCCAUAAUCGAUUACCAUGAGCAAUUAUGAGAUUUUUCGAGUAAGACUAUUGUGUAUUCAUUGAUGCAUAACUAAUUACCAUAACUAAAUAAUCGAUUAUUACUUGCUAAAUAGAUGACAAUGGAUUUUUGGAGGUGUCCUUGAGUGAGAUCUCUAUAAAUUUGAUUAGGACUCUCAUUCUAAUGUAUAAAAUACGAAAUAACUGUAUUUCAAAAAUCUUAUAUGUUGUGUGUGGUGAUAAGUGUUCUAGGGUUUGUGUAACCCUUGUGUUCUGGCUUUGAGAACUUAACGUGUUGGCAUAGAGCGAGAACUUUCACUAGGAGUGUGAUUGAGUGUUGUUUUUGUUGCUAAGUUGAAAGCAUGUCAUCCUUUGUGAAGAUUCAAAGGAGGUGCUCAUCCUUCGUGAAGCAUUCGGAGGAGGUGUCCAUCCCUUGUGAGUUGUAGGGGAAGUGAGUUUCAUUUCCUUGAGUAACAAGAAAGGUUUUCCAACCUUGAACUUGUUUAUUUUCUUUGUGAUUGUAACAAUUUGUUGGUUUGUGUUAGUGAAACGUUAAUUCUCGGUUGAGAUUAACAUUGGAUGUAGGAUCUAUAUGAUCUGAACCAAUAUAAAAAUUACCCGUGCAAUUUUCUCUCUUCCUUACUCUUUAAAUUUGUUUAAAAUCAUUUAAGGAAUUUAUAUUGAUUUGAGAAAAUUAUUAAAAGAACAAUUUGCGAUAAGAAACCAAUUCAGAUAAAAAAGAUCCUACGUCUAGUUGUUAAUCUCUCUCAAAGAGGGAUUAACUUAUAACGAAAAGUAAACCAAUAACUUACAAAGUGAAGUAGAGUGGAGGUUUAAAAAUACGCCUCUCUUGACUAACAAGAGAUUUACAACACCUUUUGACACAUACAAGGAUGGACAAGCUAAAACUUUGCUAAGCAAAUGUGCUACCACACUUAGACACACCAAGACUGACACUUCCUUCUACUUAGCACCAAGUUUCUCAAGCUUACUUAAAACACAGACAGUUCAGACAAAGCACUUAGUUCUUAAGAAGGUUUUAAGAUUUCAUAACUUUAGAAGAACUCAUAAGUGAGCUAUUUAUAGGCUAAGUUCAAAAAUAGGUUAGAAGCUGAAGAGUCUUCUUCCAACUAUCAGAGAUAAUCUAUUAUCGCAAGUGAUAAUUAAUUAUCUACAAACCUUAUAAAAGUAUUUUUCUUGAGAUAAUAAAUUAUCCCAAAUGAUAAUCAAUUAUCUACGAGCCAUUAAAGAAGUAGUUCUUUUAGGAUAAUCAUUACCCUAAGUGAUAAUCGAUUAUUUUAUAGAAUUUUGCCAUUUUUGAUAUUCUCUAGGAUAAUCGAUUAUUCCAAUGCAUUUUCCAAAGAAAAAAUAAAGAAGCUUUAAUCUAAGUUCUCUUUGCCUUGUCGUGUUCUUAACAAUGAACCACCAGUGUCAACACGUCAAUCACAACUAGGAACCUUGUUGGCGUCACUACGGUGACCAUUUCCAACAUGCGAGUCACCUAGUAGGCAACACUAGGUCCUACCAUGUAUCCUUGUCGGUGGCUUUUUCUUCGUUCACAACCAGGGAUGUCUGUCAAAGUCACUACUCUGCUUUAUCCUUCUUUAAGUUGUCAGUGCAACUAUGUCUAUCAAUCGAAACCACCACAUCUCAUCUUUCUUCCAAUUUUUGAAAUAUGGAUUUGUCAAUGGUAUCAAUCAUGGUUGUUGCUUCUAAAAAUGGUGGGGUAACAAUGGUCUUAGUCUAUGUAAGUAGGUCUUUAAAAGAAGGAGGAUGGUAUCGAGUGUUUAUUGGUGAUGGUCAAGGGUUUAAAUGAAGGAUGAAAAUAUGAUUAAGGAUAUGUUGGUUGAGGUGUGAAUAGUUCCUGAUGGUUGCCCAAGAUGAAUGAUGAGCUACAUAAUGGAUAUUUGGGCGAGAAAUUUGUUGUUCUUUUUAUCGAUGGAUAAAUUCAUCAAUAAUAAUUUUAAAUUUUUUAUGGAUUUUGCCGACAAAUUUUACCAAUAGAUUUAAGAUUUGUAUGUACUAUUUAAUUUUAUCAUUGAUAAAUAAAAUUUUAAUUACCAACUGAUUUUACUGUCAAUAAAAUUCAUUAAUAAUUAAAAUUUCAAAAUUUGUCGGCAAAAUAUAUUGAUAAUUUAAAUUUACUGACAGAUUUACUUUUGUUAGUAAUUCCAAGAAUUUUUGUAGCAGUAAUUAAGAUGCAUAAUAUAAAUAAUUCAAUAUAUAUCAACAUGAUUUCAUUGCCAUUUCAUUCCAUAACUACUGAGCAACAUGAGAUUUUCACAUGUCCUCUUAGAUAAGCAUUAUUCUCCCCUCAUCUAAGGUUCUUGAUGACAUAUCCUCUAGUUAAGGCCAAACACUUUUAAGAAAAGUUCAAGUUAUCUAUG